rnacentral:tRNA from 1 species
GCUAGUGUAGCUUAACGCAAAGCAUGGCACUGAAGAUGCUAAGAUAAAAGUUAAAAUUUUUCACAAGCA